rnacentral:rRNA from 1 species
UACGUAGGGGGCUAGCGUUGUCCGGAAUCAUUGGGCGUAAAGAGCGUGUAGGCGGCCCGGUAAGUCCGCUGUGAAAGUCGGGGGCUCAACCCUUGAAUGCCGGUGGAUACUGUCGGGCUAGAGUGCGGAAGAGGCGAGUGGAAUUCCUGGUGUAGCGGUGAAAUGCGCAGAUAUCAGGAGGAACACCAAUUGCGAAGGCAGCUCGCUGGGACGUAACUGACGCUGAGACGCGAAAGCGUGGGGAGCGAACAGG